rnacentral:rRNA from 1 species
GACGAACGCUGGCGGCGUGCUUAACACAUGCAAGUCGAACGGAAAGGCCCUGCUUUUGUGGGGUGCUCGAGUGGCGAACGGGUGAGUAACACGUGAGUAACCUGCCCUUGACUUUGGGAUAACUUCAGGAAACUGGGGCGAAUACCGGAUAGGAGCUCCUGCUGCAUGGUGGGGGUUGGAAAGUUUCGGCGGUUGGGGAUGGACUCGCGGCUUAUCAGCUUGUUGGUGGGGUAGUGGCUUACCAAGGCUUUGACGGGUAGCCGGCCUGAGAGGGUGACCGGCCACCUUGGGACUGAGAUACGGACCAGAAUCGUACGGGAGGCAGCAGUGGGGAAUAUUGCACAAUGGGCGGAAGCCUGAUGCAGCAACGCCGCGUGCGGGAUGCCGGCCUUCGGGUUGUAAACAGCUUUCGCCUGUGACGAAGCGUGAGUGACGGUAAUGGGUAAAGAAGCACCGGCUAACUACGUG